rnacentral:misc_RNA from 1 species
GGCCGCGGAAGGGGAGGC